AGCGAACGCUGGCGGCGUGCUUAACACAUGCAAGUCGAACGUGAAAGGGAGCAAUCCCAAGUAAAGUGGCGUACGGGUGAAUAACGCGUAGGUAAUCUACCCCAAAAUCUGAAUAACUUGCCGAAAGGCGGGCUAAUACUGGAUAGAGCGAUGGAAUCCGUAAUUGGGUUUUUCGGGAAAGGGAGGCAGCAAUGCCCCUCGUUUUGGGAUGAGCCUGCGUCUCAUUAGCUAGUUGGCAAGGUAAUAGCUCACCAAGGCUUUGAUGGGUAGCUGGUCUGAGAGGAUGAUCAGCCACACUGGAACUGAAACACGGUCCAGACUCCUACGGGAGGCAGCAGUGGGGAAUCUUGCGCAAUGGACGAAAGUCUGACGCAGCCACGCCGCGUGAGUGAAGAAGGCCUUCGGGUUGUAAAGCUCUGUCGGGCGGGACGAAAAUGCAUUGAGUGAAUAGCUUAGUGUACUGACGGUACCGCCAAAGGAAGCACCGGCUAACUCCGUGCCAGCCGCCGCAGUAA
rnacentral:rRNA from 1 species